UUAAGUUUGUAGGUGUGAAGUUUAGGCAAAUCCGGACUUCUUUAACACUGAGAGAUGAUGACGAGGCUCUACGGAGCUGAAGUAACCGAUACCACACUUCCAGGAAAAGCCACUAAGCUUCAGGUUUAUCUAAACCGUACUGAAAACCGACACAGGUGGUCAGGUAGAGAAUACUCAGGCGCUUGAGAGAACUCGGGUGAAGGAACUAGGCAAAAUAGCACCGUAACUUCGGGAGAAGGUGCGCCGGCGUAGAUUGUAGUCCCUAGCGGGCGAAGGUUGAACCGGUCGAAGAUACCAGCUGGCUGCAACUGUUUAUUAAAAACACAGCACUCUGCAAACACGAAAGUGGACGUAUAGGGUGUGAUGCCUGCCCGGUGCUGGAAGGUUAAUUGAUGGUGUAAUCGAAAGAGAAGCUCCUGAUCGAAGCCCCAGUAAACGGCGGCCGUAACUAUAACGGUCCUAAGGUAGCGAAAUUCCUUGUCGGGUAAGUUCCGACCUGCACGAAUGGCAUAAUGAUGGCCAGGCUGUCUCCACCCGAGACUCAGUGAAAUUGAAAUCGCCGUGAAGAUGCGGUGUACCCGCGGCUAGACGGAAAGACCCCGUGAACCUUUACUAUAGCUUGACACUGAACAUUGAAUUUUGAUGUGUAGGAUAGGUGGGAGCCUUUGAAGCAGUCACGCCAGUGAUUGUGGAGGCGUCCUUGAAAUACCACCCUUUAACGUUUGAUGUUCUAACGAAGAUUACGAAACGUGGUCUCGGACAGUGUCUGGUGGGUAGUUUGACUGGGGCGGUCUCCUCCCAAAGAGUAACGGAGGAGCACGAAGGUUUGCUAAUGACGGUCGGACAUCGUCAGGUUAGUGCAAUGGUAUAAGCAAGCUUAACUGCGAGACAGACAAGUCGAGCAGGUACGAAAGUAGGUCAUAGUGAUCCGGUGGUUCUGAAUGGAAGGGCCAUCGCUCAACGGAUAAAAGGUACUCCGGGGA
rnacentral:rRNA from 1 species